rnacentral:rRNA from 1 species
CCUACGGGGUGCAGCAGUGAGGAAUAUUGGUCAAUGGACGAGAGUCUGAACCAGCCAAGUAGCGUGAAGGAUGACUGCCCUAUGGGUUGUAAACUUCUUUUAUAAAGGAAUAAAACGAGGCACGUGUGCCUUUUUGCAUGUACUUUAUGAAUAAGGAUCGGCUAACUCCGUGCCAGCAGCCGCGGUAAUACGGAGGAUCCGAGCGUUAUCCGGAUUUAUUGGGUUUAAAGGGAGCGUAGAUGGGUUGUUAAGUCAGUUGUGAAAGUUUGCGGCUCAACCGUAAAAUUGCAAUUGAUACUGGCAGUCGUGAGUACAGUUGAGGUAGGCGGAAUUCGUGGUGUAGCGGUGAAAUGCUUAGAUAUCACGAAGAACCCCGAUUGCGAAGGCAGCUUACUAAACUGUGACUGACAUUGAUGCUCGAAAGUGUGGGUAUCAAACAGGAUUAGAUACCCCAGUAGU